rnacentral:rRNA from 1 species
CAGUAGCCGCGGUAAUACGGAGGGCGCGAGCGUUACCCGGAUUUACUGGGCGUAAAGGGCGUGUAGGCGGCCUGGGGCGUCCCAUGUGAAAGGCCACGGCUCAACCGUGGAGGAGCGUGGGAUACGCUCAGGCUAGAGGGUGGGAGAGGGUGGUGGAAUUCCCGGAGUAGCGGUGAAAUGCGCAGAUACCGGGAGGAACGCCGAUGGCGAAGGCAGCCACCUGGUCCACUUCUGACGCUGAGGCGCGAAAGCGUGGGGAGCAAACCGGAUUAGUACCCCCGUAGUCCCUGUCUCUUAUACA